GGGCAUUCAGAAGGCUUGCACUCUGGGCUACAUACAGGGAACCUGGUUUCUCCUCUCUUCGCCCAGGGGAAAGUCCCCGGACACCUGGCAGAAAGUGCCCUGGCUGGAAACCAGGAUCGAUCUGCGCUCCACCACUAGUGAGCUGAGAUGUUCUGCUGAACUGAGCUCGGUGAUCGCAGGUCGAAUUUGUCAGCGUUGAUAGUUAUGCAAGAGAGCUGCUAGUAACGCCUUAACAGAACGGGGCUCAUUCUCCGAAUGCU
ensembl:ribozyme RNase_MRP RNase MRP